UACGUAGGUGGCGAGCGUUGUCCGGAUUUAUUGGGCGUAAAGCGCGCGCAGGCGGCGCCGCAAGUCCGGUGUGAAAGCGCCCGGCUCAACUGGGCGAGGUCAUUGGAGACUGCGGUGCUGGAGGGUGGCAGAGGCCGGUGGAAUUCCCGGUGUAGUGGUGAAAUGCGUAGAGAGUCGGGAGGAACACCAGUGGCGAAGGCGGCCGGCUGGG
rnacentral:rRNA from 1 species